rnacentral:rRNA from 1 species
GGCAUCUCGAAACUUUUAAAAGACCCGCAAGGGUAUGCUGAGAGAUGGGCUUGCGGCACAUUAGUUAGUUGGUAAGGUAAUGGCUUACCAAGACUAUGAUGUGUAGCUGGACUGAGAGGUUGAACGGCCACAUUGGGACUGAGAUACGGCCCAAACUCCUACGGGAGGCAGCAGUAAGGAAUUUUCGGCAAUGGAGGAAACUCUGACCGAGCAACGCCGCGUGAACGAUGAAGUAUUUAGGUACGUAAAGUUCUUUUAUUAAAGAAGAAAAAAUGAUGGAAAAAUCAUUCUGACGGUAUUUAAUGAAUAAGCCCCGGCUAACUAUGUGCCAGCAGCUGCGGUAAUACAUGGGGGGCAAGCGUUAUCCGGAUUUAUUGGGCGUAAAGGGUGCGUAGGCGGUUAAAUAAGUCUAUGGUAUAAGUUCAACGCUUAACGUUGUGAUGCUAUAGAAACUGUUUGACUAGAGUUGGAUAGAGGCAAGUGGAAUUCCAUGUGUAGCGGUAAAAUGCGUAAAUAUAUGGAGGAACACCAGUAGCGAAGGCGGCUUGCUGGGUCUUAACUGACGCUGAGGCACGAAAGCGUGGGGAGCAAACAGGAUUAGAUACCCUGGUAGUCCACGCCGUAAACGAUGAGUACUAAGUGUUGGGUUAAACCAGUGCUGAAGUUAACACAUUAAGUACUCCGCCUGAGUAGUACGUACGCAAGUAUGAAACUUAAAGGAAUUGACGGGACUCCGCACAAGCGGUGGAUCAUGUUGUUUAAUUCGAAGAUACACGAAAAACCUUACCAGGUCUUGACAUACUCUGCAAAGCUAUAGAAAUAUAGUGGAGGUUAUCAGGGAUACAGGUGGUGCAUGGUUGUCGUCAGCUCGUGUCGUGAGAUGUUGGGUUAAGUCCCGCAACGAGCGCAACCCUUAUCACUAGUUACCAUCAUUUAGUUGGGCNCUUUAGUGAGACUGCCAAUGAUAAAUUGGAGGAAGGUGGGGAUUACGUCAAAUCAUCAUGCCCCUUAUGACCUGGGCUACAAACGUGAUACAAUGGCUGUUACAAAGAGUAGCUGAAACGUGAGUUUUUAGCAAAUCUCAAAAAAACAGUCUCAGUUCGGAUUGAAGUCUGCAACUCGACUUCAUGAAGUCGGAAUCGCUAGUAAUCGCGAAUCA